rnacentral:rRNA from 1 species
AUACGAACUGUGCAAACGUUAUUCGGAAUCACUGGGCUUAAAGGGUGCGUAGGCGGGUUUGAAGGUCUGAUGUGAAAGCCCACGGCUCAACCGUGGAAUUGCGUUGGAAACCACAAGCCUUGAGGGAGUCAGAGGUGAGCGGAACUAAUGGUGGAGCGGUGAGAUGCGUUGAUAUCAUUAGGAACACCGGUGGCGAAAGCGGCUCACUGGGACUCUUCUGACGCUGAGGCACGAAAGCUAGGGGAGCGAACGGGAUUAGAAACCCUAGUAGUCC